CCCCUACUUUCUCUCUCCACCGGAUCUUCUGUCUCCGGCCACCACAGGCGUCGCCACUGCUGCCAGAAGAGAGCCCUCGCCGAGAGGAGCCGAUCGCCACUCGACUCGGCCGCCAACACCGCCGGAAACGGCCGGAACGGCCUCCGGAAGCCGCUGCUCCACACGUCGCGCGAUUCCGCCGCCUCACGCUGCCGCUGCUGCAGCACUCGCCGACGCCAGCAUCGCACGCCCGGCAGUCGGCCGCCACCGGCUGACGACGCAGCACCCGGCUCCUCCUUCUUCUCGCGCGGCGCCCGCUUUUUUC
rnacentral:lncRNA from 1 species